AGCAGCCGCGGUAAUUCCAGCUCCAAUAGCGUAUAUUAAAGUUGUUGCAGUUAAAAAGCUCGUAGUUGAAUUUCGGAAUCUGUCCGUCGGUCGGGCUUCACUGUCCGUACUGGUGUGAUGGGUUUCUACCUUCUGAAUAACCGGCAUGUCAUUAAUUUGGUGCGCCGGGGAAGCAGAACUAUUACCUUGAAAAAUUAGAGUGCUUAAAGCAGGCUAUCGCCUGAAUAGAUUAGCAUGGAAUAAUAAAAUAGGACGGCAUGGUUCUAUUUUGUUGGUUUCUAGGAUCACCGUAAUGAUUAAUAGGGAUAGUUGGGGGCAUUAGUAUUCAAUUGUCAGAGGUGAAAUUCUUGGAUUUAUUGAAGACUAACUUCUGCGAAAGCAUUUGCCAAGGAUGUUUUCAUUAAUCAAGAACGAAAGUUAGGGGAUCGAAGACGAUCAGAUACCGUCGUAGUCUUAACCAUAAACUAUGCCGACUAGGGAUCGGACGAUGUUAAUUUUUAAU
rnacentral:rRNA from 1 species